GACGAACGCUGGCGGCGUGCUUAACACAUGCAAGUCGAACGGUGAAGCGCCUUCCUUUUUGGUGGGUGUGGAUCAGUGGCGAACGGGUGAGUAACACGUGAGUAGCCUGCUCCCUCUUUCUGGAUAACCGCAUGACAGUGUGGAUAAUACGGGAUAUUUUGGGUCUGUCGCAUGAUUGGUCUGGGACAGAUUUUGUUUCGCUGGGGGAUGGGUGCGCGGCCUAUUAGCUUGUUGGUGGGGUGACGGCCUACCAAGGCGGUGACGGGUAGCCGGCCUGAGAGGGUCGACGGUCACACAAGGACUGAAACGCGGCCCAGACUCCGGAGGGAGGCAGCAGGGGGUAAUAUGGCACAGUGGGCGCAAGGCUGAUGCAGCGACGCCGCAGGGGUGAUGGAGUCCUGCGGGUUGUGAACCUCUUUCGCGAAUGAAGCAGGGCGUCCGCGUGUGUGGGUGGGUUGACGGUAGCUGGAUAAGAAGCGCCGGCUAACUACGUG
rnacentral:rRNA from 1 species